UCUGUUCUACGGGGCGCAGCAGUGAGGAAUAUUGGUCAAUGGGAGAGAUCCUGAACCAGCCAAGCCGCGUGAGGGCAGACGGCCCUAUGGGUUGUAAACCUCUUUUGUCGGAGAACAAAACCCGGGACGUGUCCCGGACUGCGUGUAUCCGACGAAAAAGCAUCGGCUAACUCCGUGCCAGCAGCCGCGGUAAUACGGAGGAUGCGAGCGUUAUCCGGAUUUAUUGGGUUUAAAGGGUGCGCAGGCGGUCCGUUAAGUCAGCGGUAAAAUUGCGGGGCUAAACCCCGUCGAGCCGUUGAAACUGG
rnacentral:rRNA from 1 species